AACGAGCGCUGGCGGCAUGCCUAACACAUGCAAGUCGAACGAGACCUUCGGGUCUAGUGGCGCACGGGUGCGUAACGCGUGGGAACCUGCCUUUAGGUUUGGAUUAACUCCCCGAAUGGGGUGCUAAUACCGGCUAAUGUCUUCGGACCAAAGAUUUAUCGCCCUUGGAUGGGCUCGCGUUGGAUUAGCUAGUUGGUAGGGUAAAAGCCUACCAAGGCGACGAUCCAUAGCUGGUCUGAGAGGAUGAUCAGCCACACUGGGACUGAGACACGGCCCAGACUCCUACGGGAGGCAGCAGUGGGGAAUAUUGGACAAUGGGCGAAAGCCUGAUCCAGCAAUGCCGCGUGAGUGAUGAAGGCCUUAGGGUUGUAAAGCUCUUUUACCCGGGAUGAUAAUGACAGUACCGGGAGAAUAAGCUCCGGCUAACUCCGUG
rnacentral:rRNA from 1 species